rnacentral:tRNA from 1 species
UAAGCUUUUGGGCCCAUACCCCAAAUAUGUUGGUGAAAACCCUUCUCUUACUA